UGCUUCUAUUCGGUUAGCGGCGGACGGGUGAGUAACACGUGGGCAACCUGCCCGUAAGACUGGGAUAACUUCGGGAAACCGGAGCUAAUACCGGAUAACACGAAAGACCGCAUGGUCUUUCGUUGAAAGGCGGCGUAAGCUGUCACUUACGGAUGGGCCCGCGGCGCAUUAGCUAGUUGGUGAGGUAACGGCUCACCAAGGCGACGAUGCGUAGCCGACCUGAGAGGGUGAUCGGCCACACUGGGACUGAGACACGGCCCAGACUCCUACGGGAGGCAGCAGUAGGGAAUCUUCCGCAAUGGACGAAAGUCUGACGGAGCAACGCCGCGUGAGCGAAGAAGGUCUUCGGAUUGUAAAGCUCUGUUGUUAGGGAAGAACAAGUACCGCAGUAACUGGCGGUACCUUGACGGUACCUAACGAGAAAGCCACGGCUAACUACGUGCCAGCAGCCGCGGUAAUACGUAGGUGGCAAGCGUUGUCCGGAAUUAUUGGGCGUAAAGCGCGCGCAGGCGGUCCUUUAAGUCUGAUGUGAAAGCCCACGGCUCAACCGUGGAGGGUCAUUGGAAACUGGGGGACUUGAGUGCAGAAGAGGAGAGCGGAAUUCCACGUGUAGCGGUGAAAUGCGUAGAGAUGUGGAGGAACACCAGUGGCGAAGGCGGCUCUCUGGUCUGUAACUGACGCUGAG
rnacentral:rRNA from 1 species